CUGUAUUACCUUGCAUAUGAAAACUGUUUUAAAUUUUCCCCAAGCUCCAUAUGAGAGCCUCUGGAUCCCUUCAGUUUAUCUCAGUGUCUUCGACUGAAUCUUCUAGAAACAGAAUUCCAGGCAGAAGGUUUAUUGGAGAACGCCCUCAGGAAAUACACCGAAAGGAAGUGAGGAUGGAGGCAAGACUGGACAGAGGGAGAAGCUGGCUCACAUCGUAGUUACAACUGAGGCCUCAGUUCGUCCUACUUGGAGCCCUACAGCUGAACGAACUAGAGUUGUUUAAAAUUGAGACGAGGGACUGAGUCGAUGUAUUUAUUCCCCAUCAGCCAUUCAUUAUGCCUGCUGGGAGAGGGCAUAACCUUGAGUGAGGCACACUUUGAAAUGUCAGAAGCCUAUUUCUGCAACAGCUUGGAGAUGGUGAGAGGACAUCUUCUGGAUGGGCAGAGCUCCCAGUGUUGGAUUUGGUCAGCUACUUUAUAUGGAAAGAUAAACAGGCUGAGGAUCCUCGUGCCAAGAAACCAGCAGGAAUUGAAGGGAGGCACCACCCUGGAAGAAGUAAUUGAUAUGGUCUUCAGGAGGAGGAAGAGCAGCUGCUACCCAAUCAGAGCAGGAUAG
rnacentral:lncRNA from 1 species